rnacentral:lncRNA from 1 species
CAGGGCGGUGCCAUCAUCUGUUCCAACCUCAAAAACUCAACUCAACUGUUGAAAAUUGUGUGGCAGAGUUAAAAAAAUUUGAGACAACAGGUGCAUUUUUAUGUCACUAAACAGAUUAAGGAGAGAGUUUCAACCCCAAAAACAAGGUGUCAAACACAUUGAACGAGAUUCCUUAUUCGAAUCAUACAGAUAGUAGUUACUACAGGAUUACACGAGAGAGAUCCCAAUUACCUAGGGUGAAGCACAGCGGAUUCUAGAGCAAGUCCCUUGUAAUUCCUCGACCGUGCUUUGGAGGCGAGGACAGUAGUCCGCCUUGGGUCUGAGCGCAGGGCAACAGGCACAGAUAUUCCCGCCUCUACGACAAGGAAUUGGAAGCGAAUCGAUGCAGCGCUGAGCCGAUGCCUGAUUGUUGCCAACAAGGAGAAGCAACAGGAAACAUGUUGCAGCAACAAGACUUGCCAAAUGUGAAGCCUUCAUCUUUUGCUACACAGAGGAGUUUCACAAUGGGAAUUGGAGUAUUUAAAGAAACUUUG